AUUGCACCAAUUCAAAUUUAGCUGUAUUAUCGAAUUUGAUUCGUGCAAUGUUUACACAAGUUUGGUUUGUUUAUCACAAUAUUAAAGAAAAUUCAAAAUAGAAAAUGCAUUUUUUUGAGAAAAGCUGUUUCUUUCAGUAUUUUUAAAAAACAGUAAUAUUGUUGACUUCUUAUUAAUUUUUGAAGGCCCUUAACCCGAACCUAUUUGGCCUAGGCGAUUCUAAUUUUUUGGUUUAAUGAAUUUCCUACAUGUUAAGCACUUUGAAUAUUACUAAUCGGUGUGAUUUUUUCAUUUUUAGAAAAAGCUGAACCUGAACAUAUUUUUCCGAUAGAUAGUGAGGCUUUAGAUGAAACAGUAGAUCAAGAAUCACAGAAUGGUGUGACCGUAACGCCAUGUCCUCCAACACCAGUGGCAGGAACGGAGGAAACUCCUGCAAAAGCCAGUUUAAAAGCCACCUAUUCCAUGUUCAGAAAGCAGAGGAAAAAAUAUGCCCCCUCUGCAGCCCAAAAGGCUGCUUCUUCUAUUGAAGAAAAAUACAGAUUGGAAAUUCAAGUUUUAAAGAGUAAAGAGGAGAGGGACGUGGAAGAACACAUGUUAAAGAUGAGGCUGCGGUCUGCGCAAAUUCAAGUUUUAAAGAGUAAAGAGGAGAGGGACGUGGAAGAACACAUGUUAAAGAUGAGGCUGCUGUCUGCGCAGAUCAAGUUUCAGGAGAAUUUAAACAGAAUCUUGCACACUAAUCCCACCUCUUUAAACAUUUCAUUAAAUAAAUAAGUGUUUUAUUA